AUUGAACGCUGGCGGCAUGCCUUACACAUGCAAGUCGAACGGCAGCACGGGUGCUUGCACCUGGUGGCGAGUGGCGAACGGGUGAGUAAUACAUCGGAACAUGUCCUGUAGUGGGGGAUAGCCCGGCGAAAGCCGGAUUAAUACUGCAUACGAUCCACGGAUGAAAGCGGGGGACCUUCGGGCCUCGCGCUAUAGGGUUGGCCGAUGGCUGAUUAGCUAGUUGGUGGGGUAAAGGCCUACCAAGGCGACGAUCAGUAGCUGGUCUGAGAGGACGACCAGCCACACUGGGACUGAGACACGGCCCAGACUCCUACGGGAGGCAGCAGUGGGGAAUUUUGGACAAUGGGCGAAAGCCUGAUCCAGCAAUGCCGCGUGUGUGAAGAAGGCCUUCGGGUUGUAAAGCACUUUUGUCCGGAAAGAAAUCCUUGACUCUAAUACAGUCGGGGGAUGACGGUACCGGAAGAAUAAGCACCGGCUAACUACAUG
rnacentral:rRNA from 1 species